GAAUCUGAUUAGCGUCUGCAUGCAGGUAAAGCCAUUGUGAGCACCAACGAAACUUUAGGUACAUUCACAACUGGGACUUAGACCCACAUUACUGGAAUGCUAACAUAUGAUUGAAAGCCUCAUAUCUGGAAGGUUCUCUUAGCUGGCAUAGUUCACAUGCACAUCCAUUUUGCUGCUAUAAUUGAGACCACGUCCUGUGAAGUCUACCCUAAUCAAGCAGACCUCCUUUCGUGGAUCAGUACACUAGCCAUAGUCUUUGGAUUAGCAUCAGACAUGGCCCCAGGGAAGCUCACAAGGUCCUCACCUCCUUCACCCACCAGCCUGACCAAGGGUGGAUGUCAAGGGAAAUCUCUCCCACGCUCAUUCUGUGUAUGAUGAUGGUAGCAGUAAGCACAAACCCGGAUGAGGAGAGAUGCAAACAAUGGGGGUGCCAACACCAGAGCCUGCAUAUGUUGACGUGGACAAAGGACUAACAUUAGCAUGUUUUGUCUUCCUUUGCCUUUUCUUGAUUGUCAUGAUUAUUCGCUGUGCAAAAGUCAUCAUGGACCCUUACAGCGCUAUUCCAACUUCCACAUGGGAGGAGCAGCACCUGGGUGACUGAAAGGACACUGCGGGAAGCUUUCACAGCACAAUCUGGAAGGCCUUUUCAUUCAGAGAAGGCUUAACAAGGGGAGAAGAUCACGGAACCCAGUCAAAUGGUGGACCUUUAAUGUUUCAACAUGCAAGAGAAAUUGAAUAAAACAAUACAUUUGUGAGCUGUGGAACCUCUGGCUUUUCUAAGCCUACCUGCCUUUCUCAAACAACAGCAGGGAUGGGGUAAGAUCAUCAUUUUAUACAGCCACUUCCAGAUGGCCUGUUCACCAGAUACAUAGAAGAGAUUUCAAAGAUACCGGCCUCUAAGUGUCCAUAAGUAUGGGCUGGAGUGUUCCUGCAUAAAGGGACAUGAAAGGUGGCAGCUGUAGACAGAGCCCCUUCUCCCUUUGCUGGGAUGGGAGAGUAAUUACUACCAUCCCCCUUUCCCUAGCACAAUACAGGGGUUCACACACAAGGAGCAGCAUGGGGAUUGGAGUUAGAGCAGGGGAGUGGCCACUCUCUGUAGCGCUGCUCCCUUAGACCCUAUAUGGAAAUCAUGAGGGAGCUAAUUCUGUCCCAAGAGGUGCUAUGACCUCUAGGUUUGGAGGCCAACCUUUCCUAGGCAGCCAUUUUGAUGUCCCUUCCCUGAUCAGCUGUGUAAGAGGGGUGCUGAGGUUAAACCUUGGCUCGCAGGGUACCAUGUAAUGUAGCCUGUCUUAAUGAUUAUUCUGCAGCACUGUGGUAUAGAUGCCUAAGCCCCUGCAAUUGUUUACUUUGGACUGGACUUGUAUUGAGUAACAUCUGAAAACAAGGAACAUUUUGGGGGGAAAAUACUGAUGCGCAUUUAACAUUCACUGAAACACAUCGGCUUGGGCUGGUAUGUACUGCAUGCGACCUGGCCAACAACAGUAUUUCAUGCUAUUUUCACCCUAGAGAGGAAACCCUUUGAAAGUACUUUCUUGCAGCUUGGUGACAAACAGGUAAAUUCUUUCCUGUUUUAAAUGAACCCUAUUGCUAAAGACUCAAUGGAAUUAUUCUUGUUUAUACCAGCAGUGAAUCUGCAGGGAACUGGAGUGGGAAAUAUGUGGUUGAGUUUGCAACAAAGACUCUUAAAGAGAAAAAACAGUAAGAUUUAUAACCAUAUUCUAGCAAGAAACAGAGGUUUGAAUCCUCUGAGUUCUUGUAACAGGCUCUAUAGCUCUGAGCUAAAGAUCAGAGCUUGAGUGAACAACCUGAGUCACUCUAAAUGCAUUUAUGAGAGAAGUAAUUAACCCUGAAUUUACAGAACAGAGACCUUGUCCAAUGCUAGCUUACAGCUUUUCCUGAAAGAAAUAGAGGGAUGUGCAUGAUGCCAGCUAGGGAAUUACAACAGCAGCACAUUCCUGCUGAUUCAGUGUGGGUCUGAGAGGGUAACUCAGUCCCCCACUGCUUGAGGCCAAUGAGCAAGGCUAGCGCAGGAGUUGCAAGCUUUGGUGAGAAGAAUGUGUUUGCACACUCUGGACAUCCAGAUGCCAUAAGAAAGUCUUGAUUCAAUCACAUUGCAGGCUGCGUAGGUUGAAGUCUCUAUCGUCCUGAGAAAGGGAGAUGAAGCAGGUGGCAUUGAAGCAUCUGGCUACCUGUAUGACAUAAAUGCAAGGGGAGGAGAGGAGCUGUGCAGUUGCAUCUCACAUUGGUCUGACUUUUAACAUGAACAUGGUAAAUGGACUUUGCAAACACUGCAGAGCCAGGACAACGUAUUUAAUCUGUUUAGGGACCCCUGGUGCCCAUUAAAAAUGGUGGAGCUGCAAGAGGGGUAGAGGCACCAAUGACCACGUAAGACAUCCCUAGCUUUAGUUUUAAGAGACCGAUAAGUCUAUGAGCAGGAUUAUCUGAUGGGGCUGCCUGCGAUAGCAGGGGACUGGAGUCAAUGGCCCAGGAGGUCCCUUCCAGUCCUAGGUAGCCCUCUACUUUGCCUUUGUGGAGCAGAACUGAAAUAGCUCCUCAAAAGCCUAUAUUCCUGGCUCUGAGCUGCCGCCCUCUGCUGCCUGCAGUCCAUAUGUCAUCAGUCAGGUGUAGCACAGCUUCCAGCAGCAGGAGCAACUUCACGGGAGCUCUCCAGUGGCAGCAGGUGGUAUUGCACCCUACAGUACGUCAGCCACACUACAUGGAUGUGGUGUGACUGGCGGGGCUUAGCUCCAUCGUCCCGGAAGGAUCAGCUGCCCCUACAGCUUUGCGCUCGAGCUGAUCACACAUAGAUGAAACCCCACACACCUUUUCACAGCUCUGUCCUGCUUCCUUGGAGGCACUAGGCCCAAUUCUGACAUCACCUACACCAGUUUUACACUGGCAUAAUUUCACUUGAAUUCAAUUCACUCCUGAUUUAGAAAUGCGUUGAAUCAAAAUCAAGCCAGCUACCUAUACAAAAAGCCCCAUUUCAGCUGAUUUCUGGAGAGUUCUCU